AUUGAACGCUGGCGGCAUGCCUUACACAUGCCAGUCGAACGGCAGCAUGAUCUAGCUUGCUAGAUUGAUGGCGAGUGGCGAACGGGUGAGUAAUACAUCGGAACGUGCCCUGUAGUGGGGGAUAACUAGUCGAAAGAUUAGCUAAUACCGCAUACGACCUGAGGGUGAAAGUGGGGGACCGCAAGGCCUCAUGCUAUAGGAGCGGCCGAUGUCUGAUUAGCUAGUUGGUGAGGUAAAGGCUCACCAAGGCGACGAUCAGUAGCUGGUCUGAGAGGACGAUCAGCCACACUGGGACUGAGACACGGCCCAGAAUCCGAGGGGAGGCAGCAGUGGGGAAUUUUGGACAAUGGGCGAAAGCCUGAUCCAGCAAUGCCGCGUGUGUGAAGAAGGCCUUCGGGUUGUAAAGCACUUUUGUCCGGAAAGAAAUGGCUCUGGUUAAUACCUGGGGUCGAUGACGGUACCGGAAGAAUAAGGACCGGCUAACUACGU
rnacentral:rRNA from 1 species